rnacentral:rRNA from 1 species
UGAGGAAUAUUGGUCAAUGGGCGGAAGCCUGAACCAGCCAUGCCGCGUGCAGGAAGACGGCCCUACGGGUUGUAAACUGCUUUUCCGGGGGAAGAAUAAUCCCGACGUGUCGGGAGACGACGGUACCCCGGGAAUAAGGAUCGGCUAACUCCGUGCCAGCAGCCGCGGUAAUACGGAGGAUCCGAGCGUUAUCCGGAUUUACUGGGUUUAAAGGGUGCGUAGGCGGGCGCUUAAGUCAGCGGUGAAAUGCGGGGGCUCAACCUUCGAACGGCCGUUGAUACUGGGCGCCUUGGAUUCGGUCGAGGCGGGCGGAAUGCGUGGUGUAGCGGUGAAAUGCUUAGAUAUCACGCAGAACGCCGAUUGCGAAGGCAGCUCGCCGGGCCGAUAUUGACGCUGAGGCACGAAAGCGUGGGGAUCGAACA